UCAAGCGAACAAGUGCAUGUGGUGGAUGCCUUGGCGAUCACAGGCGAUGAAGGACGCGGUAGCCUGCGAAAAGCUUCGGGGAGCUGGCAAACAAGCUUUGAUCCGGAGAUGUCCGAAUGGGGAAACCCGGCCCGAAUGGGUCAUCCCACACUGAAUUCAUAGGUGUGGGAAGCGAACGCGGCGAACUGAAACAUCUAAGUAGCUGCAGGAACAGAAAUCAACCGAGAUUCCCAAAGUAGUGGCGAACGAAAUGGGAAGAGCCUUGUACUCUUUAGCAGUGGUGUUAGCAGAACGGGAUGGAAAGCCCGGCCAUAGCAGGUGAUAGCCCUGUAUGCGAAAACACGAUUGUGGAACUAGGUGUACGACAAGUAGGGCGGGACACGUGAAAUCCUGUCUGAAGAUGGGGGGACCAUCCUCCAAGGCUAAAUACUCGUGAUCGACCGAUAGUGAACCAGUACCGUGAGGGAAAGGCGAAAAGAACCCCGGGAGGGGAGUGAAAUAGAUCCUGAAACCGCAUGCAUACAAACAGUCGGAGCCUCUUCGGGGGUGACGGCGUACCUUUUGUAUAAUGGGUCAGCGACUUACAUUCAGUGGCAAGCUUAACCGAUUAGGGAAGGCGUAGCGAAAGCGAGUCCGAACAGGGCGUUGAGUCGCUGGGUGUAGACCCGAAACCAGAUGAUCUAUCCAUGGCCAGGUUGAAGGUGCGGUAACACGUACUGGAGGACCGAACCCACUAACGUUGAAAAGUUAGGGGAUGAGCUGUGGAUAGGGGUGAAAGGCUAAACAAAUCUGGAAAUAGCUGGUUCUCUCCGAAAACUAUUUAGGUAGUGCCUCGUGUCUCACCUUCGGGGGUAGAGCACUGUCAUGGUUGGGGGGUCUAUUGCUGAUUACCCCGCCAUAGCAAACUCCGAAUACCGAAGAGUGCAAUCACGGGAGACAGACAUCGGGUGCUAACGUCCGGUGUCAAGAGGGAAACAACCCAGACCGCCAGCUAAGGUCCCCAAAUAUGGCUAAGUGGGAAACGAAGUGGGAAGGCUAAAACAGUCAGGAGGUUGGCUUAGAAGCAGCCACCCUUUAAAGAAAGCGUAAUAGCUCACUGAUCGAGUCGUCCUGCGCGGAAGAUGUAACGGGGCUAAGCCAUAUACCGAAGCUGCGGACGCGUGCGUUCCUUUAAGUGCACCAAGCUUGUCGAUGCGCAGCAUCGACAAAGCCGCCAACAAUGAUCGAUGGUGGUUGUGCUAGUGGAUUUAAAGGAGCGCACGCGUGGUAGGAGAGCGUUCUGUAAGCCUGUGAAGGUGUCUUGUAAAGGAUGCUGGAGGUAUCAGAAGUGCGAAUGCUGACAUGAGUAGCGAUAAAGGGGGUGAAAGGCCCCCUCGCCGUAAGCCCAAGGUUUCCUACGCAACGUUCAUCGGCGUAGGGUGAGUCGGCCCCUAAGGCGAGGCAGAGAUGCGUAGCUGAUGGGAAGCAGGUUAAUAUUCCUGCACCGUCGUAUGAUGCGAUGGGGGGACGGAUCGCGGAAGGUUGUCCGGGUGUUGGAAGUCCCGGUCCCUGCAUUGGAGAAGGCGCUCAGGCAAAUCCGGGCGCGGGAUUCAAGGAUGUGGGGCGAGCGGCCUAGUGCUGCGAAGCAAUUGGAAGUGGUUCCAAGAAAAGCCUCUAAGCUUCAGUCAUACGAGACCGUACCGCAAACCGACACAGGUGGGCGAGAUGAGUAUUCUAAGGCGCUUGAGAGAACUCGGGAGAAGGAACUCGGCAAAUUGGUACCGUAACUUCGGGAUAAGGUACGCCCUGGUAGCUUGACUGGCCUGCGCCAGAAGGGUGAAGGGGUUGCAAUAAAAUGGUGGCUGCGACUGUUUAAUAAAAACACAGCACUCUGCAAACACGAAAGUGGACGUAUAGGGUGUGACGCCUGCCCGGUGCCGGAAGAUUAAAUGAUGGGGUGCAAGCUCUUGAUUGAAGUCCCGGUAAACGGCGGCCGUAACUAUAACGGUCCUAAGGUAGCGAAAUUCCUUGUCGGGUAAGUUCCGACCUGCACGAAUGGCGUAACGAUGGCCACACUGUCUCCUCCCGAGACUCAGCGAAGUUGAAGUGUUUGUGAUGAUGCAAUCUCCCCGCGGCUAGACGGAAAGACCCCAUGAACCUUUACUGUAGCUUUGCAUUGGACUUUGAACCGAUCUGUGUAGGAUAGGUGGGAGGCUUUGAAGCGUGGACGCCAGUUCACGUGGAGCCGUCCUUGAAAUACCACCCUGGUUUGUUUGAGGUUCUAACCUUGGCCCGUGAAUCCGGGUCGGGGACAGUGCAUGGUAGGCAGUUUGACUGGGGCGGUCUCCUCCCAAAGUGUAACGGAGGAGUUCGAAGGUACGCUUGGUACGGUCGGACAUCGUACCUAAAGUGCAAUGGCAAAAGCGUGCUUAACUGCGAGACCGACAAGUCGAGCAGGUGCGAAAGCAGGACAUAGUGAUCCGGUGGUUCUGAAUGGAAGGGCCAUCGCUCAACGGAUAAAAGGUACUCUGGGGAUAACAGGCUGAUACCGCCCAAGAGUUCAUAUCGACGGCGGUGUUUGGCACCUCGAUGUCGGCUCAUCUCAUCCUGGGGCUGUAGCCGGUCCCAAGGGUAUGGCUGUUCGCCAUUUAAAGAGGUACGUGAGCUGGGUUUAAAACGUCGUGAGACAGUUUGGUCCCUAUCUGCCGUGGGCGUUGGAAUCUUGACGGGGGCUGCUCCUAGUACGAGAGGACCGGAGUGGACGUACCGCUGGUGUACCUGUUGUCUCGCCAGAGGCAUCGCAGGGUAGCUAUGUACGGAAGAGAUAACCGCUGAAAGCAUCUAAGCGGGAAACUCGCCUGAAGAUGAGGAUUCCCUGGAGGCUUGACCUCCUUGAAGGGUCGUUCGAGACCAGGACGUUGAUAGGCUGGGUGUGGAAGCGCAGUAAUGCGUUAAGCUAACCAGUACUAAUUGCCCGUAAGGCUUGAUCCU
rnacentral:rRNA from 1 species